rnacentral:tRNA from 1 species
GCACUCGUGGUGGAAUAGGUAGACGCGCUUGGCUCAGAACCAGGUCCUUAACCGGGUGGGGGUUCGAAUCCCUCCGAGUGCA